AGUGAACGCUGGCGGUAGGCCUAACACAUGCAAGUCGAACGGCAGCACAGUAAGAGCUUGCUCUUACGGGUGGCGAGUGGCGGACGGGUGAGGAAUACAUCGGAAUCUACUUUUUCGUGGGGGAUAACGUAGGGAAACUUACGCUAAUACCGCAUACGACCUACGGGUGAAAGCAGGGGAUCUUCGGACCUUGCGCGAUUGAAUGAGCCGAUGUCGGAUUAGCUAGUUGGCGGGGUAAAGGCCCACCAAGGCGACGAUCCGUAGCUGGUCUGAGAGGAUGAUCAGCCACACUGGAACUGAGACACGGUCCAGACUCCUACGGGAGGCAGCAGUGGGGAAUAUUGGACAAUGGGCGAAAGCCUGAUCCAGACAUACCGCGUGGGUGAAGAAGGCCUUCGGGUUGUAAAGCCCUUUUGUUGGGAAAGAAAAGCAGAAGGUUAAUACCCCGCUGUUCUGACGGUACCCAAAGAAUAAGCACCGGCUAACUUCGUG
rnacentral:rRNA from 1 species